rnacentral:tRNA from 1 species
GCCUCCCUAGCUCAGCGUGGUAGAGCAACUGGCUGUUAACCAGUGGGUCACCAGUUCAAGUCUGGUGGGAGGCGC